rnacentral:rRNA from 1 species
UACGGAGGGAGCUAGCGUUGUUCGGAAUUACUGGGCGUAAAGCGCGCGUAGGCGGUUACUCAAGUCAGAGGUGAAAGCCCGGGGCUCAAUCCCGGAACUGCCUUUGAAACUAGGUGACUAGAAUCUUGGAGAGGUCAGUGGAAUUCCGAGUGUAGAGGUGAAAUUCGUAGAUAUUCGGAAGAACACCAGUGGCGAAGGCGACUGACUGGACAAGUAUUGACGCUGAGGUGCGAAAGCGUGGGGAGCAAACAGG